GCAAGGGAGCCCGGAGACAGGUGCUGCAUGGCUGUCGUCAGCUCGUGUCGUGAGAUGUUGGUUAAGUCCCGCAACGAGCGCAACCCUUGCCAUUAGUUGCUACGAAAGGGCACUCUAAUGGGAACUGCCGGUGACAAACCGGAGGAAGGUGGGGAUGACGUCAAGUCCUCAUGGCCCUUAUAGGUGGGGCUACACACGUCAUACAAUGGCGUAUACAAAGGGAUGCGAAAGGGCGACCUGGAGCAAAACUCACAAAGUACGUCUCAGUUCAGAUUGGAGUCUGCAACUCGACUCCAUGAAGGCGGAAUCGCUAGUAAUCGCGGAUCAGCAUGCCGCGGUGAAUACGUUCUCGGGUUU
rnacentral:rRNA from 1 species